rfam:Triticum aestivum genome assembly, contig: Triticum_aestivum_CS42_TGACv1_scaffold_406424_5BL
AUAUUACUCCCUCCGUUCAGAAAUACUCAUCGGAGAAAUGCAUAAAAAUGGAUGUAUCUAGAACUAAAAUACAUCUAGAUACAUCCAUUUCUCCGACAAGUAUUUCUGGACGGAGAGAGUAUUUU